GAUGAAGAACGCAGCGAAAUGCGAUAAGUAAUGUGAAUUGCAGAAUUCAGUGAAUCAUCGAAUCUUUGAACGCACAUUGCGCCCGCCAGUAUUCUGGCGAGCAUGCCUGUUCGAGCGUCAUUUCAACCAUCAAGCCCCAGGCUUGUGUUGGAGCCCUGCGGCUGCCGCAGCCUCCCAAAACCAGUGGCGGGCUCGCUAUCACACCGAGUGCAGUAGUUUACUCUUCGCUCAGGGCGUGUGGCGGGUGCUAGCCGUGAAACCCCCAACUUCCCAAGGUUGACCUCGGAUCAGGUAGGAAUACCCGCUGAACUUAAGCAUAUCAAUAAGCGGAGGA
rnacentral:misc_RNA from 1 species